ensembl:misc_RNA Metazoa_SRP Metazoan signal recognition particle RNA
GCCGGGUGUGGUGGCUCACGCCUGUAAUCCCGGCACUUUGGGAGGCUGAGGCGGGUGGAUCACCUGAGGUCAGGACUUCGAGACUAGCCUGGCCAACAUGGUGAAACCCCAUCUCUA